rnacentral:tRNA from 2 species
GUCCCUAUAGUCUAAUGGUAGGACAAUUGAUUUUCAUUCAGCUAGUAGGAGUUCAAUUCUCCUUAGGGGCC